rnacentral:RNase_P_RNA from 1 species
UAAGUGAAUCGGGUGAUCGCGGGAGUAAUCCUGAGGAAAGUCCGAGCUCCAUAGGGCAGGAUGCUGGGUAACGCCCAGUGGGGGUAACCCUAAGGAAAGUGCCACAGAAACAAACCGCCUAAUUUUUAGGUAAGGGUGAAAAGGUAAGGUAAGAGCUUACCAGCAACUAGGUGACUAGUUGGCUAGGCAAACCCCAUCCGGAGCAAGGCCGAAUAGAAGAGUAGGAGCUGCCCGUUCCGUUGACUCUUGGGUUGGCCGCUUGAGGUAUUAGGCAACUAAUACCCUAGAUAGAUGAUCAUCCAAGACAGAACUCGGCUUAUAGAUUCACUUAACAA